rnacentral:tRNA from 3 species
GGAAGGGUGGCUGAGUGGUCGAAGGCGCCGCACUCGAAAUGCGGUGUGCGGGCAACCGUACCGUGGGUUCGAAUCCCACCCCUUCCG